CAGAAGUCGUGGUCCGGGACAGAAGGCUGACCCUCUACGUCUGGACUCUGGACGAAGAAUGUCCCCCCCACUUGUGGGCACACUGUGCAUGAACGCAUAAUCAAUGUUGAAUCAUUUAUGAUACAGGAAGGUGCACAGAUCAACCAGGACCUGCUGGGGUCCCUUGUUAACACAGCCAAGCAAAGCACCCCAGAAGUCCCUCUCCCCAGCAACGCUUUCCAGCUCCUCCUGGGGGAUCCCAAGGUAUUCCCAGGCCAGAUGAGAUAUGUAAUCCCUCCUGCAUGUUCUGGGUCUGCCCCGGGCCUCCUACCAGAAGGAAGUGUCUGAAAUGUCCUUGCAGUGGUGGAGGGGUUUGCGUGUCCCUAUGAUCCUGGGAGCUGUUUUGUCUGGGGCUAAUAGCCCCUGGUAGGGCCUCCCAAGGCAAAGUGGUCCUAGUGGAGGGGCCAGACUAAGAACGGUUCAAAAAAGACCUUGAUGACACGGCACAUUUGGGGAACGAGUACCUUGCCUGGUAAGGGGACACCAGGGGGCCCCUUUCUGGUGGCCGGGCCUUGGGCCAUGGGCCUGGUCGGGCUCAGCCCAAAUGAGUAACAUGGGCCCACCACCUGCAGGUACUGGCACUGGGGUUGGAUGCAUUGUGUGCCGGGCGGCAGGCAGGGGCAGGGCCCCAGGCGUGUUGAUCCUCGGCAUCAUGGACAAUCGUAUUGUACUAUAGGUAAUUUUGAAGUUUUCAUAUGUAAAUUUGACUGAAAAUAAGACUGAAAGACGGUCAUUUUAAAGAUAGCCAUUUUAUAUUAAAAGAUGAAGGAGGGUAUUUAUUAAGUCUGUUGCUGAGCCCAGCUAUAGUUCAUCUGAUUUGUAUGAAGUGACUUAAAAGGGAUCUACAAAUACUUACAUAAAAAUGCUAACUAGAGGUCUUUACAUAGGGUGACCAUAUUUUGAUUUCCAAAAAAGAGGACACUCGGCUGGCCAUGAGAUAGCCUACUUAAAUGAUCCUCGCAGUUUACUCAAAGAUGCCUUAUAAUUUUAAUAUAUUUAAAAUUUAUAUGUAUGGAUAGAAUAUUCAGUUAUAUUACAAAAUAAUAUCUCUCAAAGACAGAAAUUCAGUUAGGCCCCAAUAGGGGACACAUACACACACUAGAGUGUGGCGAUCCGAGCUCGACGGGUUUGGUCAAAAAUGUAUAAAUUGUAUUCGGGCUCGGGUCGGAUUCGGUCAGCUUUAAGUGAAAAUGUAGUGUAAAAACAAAUAAAAUCCUAUUGUCUGUCCUGUUUAUUGCUUGGGCACUGUUAUUUACGUGACAACACCUGAACAUAACACACACACACAUUGGCUGUUUGUUUCUACCUCUCUCCUCGCUGGAAGUCUCGGACCUCCAGCCGCCCGCCUCCGCCUUGAUUAAACGCUGAAAAUAAAAUAAAAGAGGGAGACAGGUGUCUCCUAUUUUAUCUUAUUUUGUUUUAUUUCUCCCUCUCCUCUCGCUAGAAGCGUCGGACCUCCCGCCUCCCGCUCCCGCCUCCCGCUCCCGUCUCAAACACCGAGGUCUGCCUCUCCGCAGCUGAGCACCCACAGCGCACG